CCUACGGGAGGCUGCAGUGAGGAAUAUUGGUCAAUGGCCGGAAGGCUGAACCAGCCAUGCCGCGUGAAGGUCAGUGCCCUAUGGGCGUUAAACUUCUUUUGUGCGGGAGCAAUAAUGGUCACGUGUGGCCAGACGAGAGUACCGUACGAAUAAGCAUCGGCUAACUCCGUGCCAGCAGCCGCGGUAAUACGGGGGAUGCAAGCGUUAUCCGGAUUUACUGGGUGUAAAGGGCGUGUAGCCGGGUUGACAAGUCAGAUGUGAAAUCCUGCGGCUUAACCGCAGAACUGCAUUUGAAACUGUUGAUCUUGAGUACUGGAGAGGCAGACGGAAUGCCUAGUGUAGCGGUGAAAUGCGUAGAGAUUAGGAGGAACACCAGUGGCGAAGGCGGUCUGCUGGACAGCAACUGACGGUGAGGCGCGAAAGCGUGGGGAGCAAACAGGAUUAGAUACCCCAGUAGUC
rnacentral:rRNA from 1 species